UUUCCGUAGGUGAACCUGCGGAAGGAUCAUUAUUGAAUAAACCUGAUGUGACUGUUAGCUGGCUUUUCGAAGCAUGUGCUCGUCCGUCAUCUUUAAUCUCUCCACCUGUGCACAUUUUGUAGACUUGGAUACCUCUCGAGGCAACUCGGAUUUUAGGAUCGCCGUGCUGCACAAGUCGGCUUUCCUUUCAUUUCCAAGACUAUGUUUUUAUAUACACCAAAGUAUGUUUAAAGAAUGUCAUCAAUAGGAACUUGUUUCCUAUAAAAUAAUACAACUUUCAACAACGGAUCUCUUGGCUCUC
rnacentral:misc_RNA from 1 species